rnacentral:rRNA from 1 species
UAGUCCACGCCGUAAACGAUGAGUGUUAGAUGUCCGAGGUAAACUUGGGUGUCGGAAGCCAACGCGAUAAACACUCCGCCUGGGGAGUACGCACGCAAGUGUGAAACUCAAAGGAAUUGACGGGGACCCGCACAAGCAGCGGAGCAUGUGGUUUAAUUCGACGCAACGCGAAGAACCUUACCAGGGCUUGACAUAAAACUGACGGGGGAUAGGGAUAUGCCCUUUCUCUUCGGAGACAGUUUUAC